rnacentral:rRNA from 1 species
GCAUGUAACCGUACCUAGAUACUACCACAAGUAAGCAAGUAGAGAAUACAAAGGCGUUUGAGAUAACAAUCAUCAAGGAACUCGGCAAAUUGACACCGUAACUUCGGGAUAAGGUGUGCCAUUAUUCCUAAAUUAUAUUAGGUAAAUAAUAGGAGACAUAAAAUGGUGUUGUACGACUGUUUAAUUAAAACAAAGCACUUUGCAUAAGAUGUCAAAUCAAAGUAUUGAGUGUGAUUUCUGCCCGAUGUUGGCUGGUUAACGGAUUUUCUUAGCUAACUUUUAUAGGCUAGGUUUUGAAGGAUACCCCAAUCAAUGGCGGCCUUACCGAUGAGGGUCCUAAGGUAGCGGAAUACCCUGGCCGUUAAAUGCGGUCUUGCAUGAAUGAUUUAACGAUACAACAGCUGUCUCGAUGAUUGUCUCAGUGAAAUUGGAAUAACUGUGCAGAUACAGUUUACCUCUAGUUAGACGAGAAGACCCUAUGCAGCUUUACUGUUACUAGUAAUUGAAUAUGAUCAAACAAGUUGUAGUGUAUAAGGUAGUUGAUGAGAUAAAAUUGAAACACCUUUACUUAGCUUAUCAUAUUAUUAGAAACUUGUUGAAAGCGGGUGCUUGGUGGAGUUAUGGCAUGAGGUUAUAACAAAACCAUUUACACGUUAGUAUAAAACUUAAAGUAACUUAUCUAUAAGAAAAAAAGCGUAUAUAUGUACGUUAAAGAGACAUUUGCUAGUAGAUAGUUUAUGCGGGGCACAGAUCCCAUAAAAAGUACCUGGGUGUAUCCAAAGUUAAUUUUGUAAAUUUCUAAGUUAUGUUUGUUCUUUUUUUUUUUUUUAAAGGAAUAAUGCAAAUAUAAUUUACUACUAAAUAUGUAAUGUUUUUUACCAUUGUUAAAUAACAUAUCAUGUUUAUAUUUUAGUUUGCAAUAUUUUAUAAAAUAAUUUAUUCAAUUAUUUUUCUAUUAAGUUAGAUUUUCUAUAAUUUUUAAGUAAGAUUUUAACUAUAUGGAAAAUAGAUGUUGAAAUAAUAUCAAUUGCUAUGGUAUAAUAACUUAAUUAAAUCACACACAUAGGCAGUGUUAUUACUACUUGUUUUAUUACCUGCGGAGCAGGUAAUAGAAUGAUUUUUAUUCAACUUUAAAAGUUUAAUGGCUUAAUCUUGCUUUACUGUUUGACUUACAAGUCUAUCAGUCGCGUAAGCGGGGCAUAUGAUCACAAGAUGCAGAAAGGAAAGGUCUUGGAUUUUUGAAAAAGCUACGCUAGGGAUAACAGGCUAAUUGCGCCAGAGAGUACAAAUUGAGUGCGCAGUUUGGCACCUCGAUGUCGACUUAGCUCAUCCACAUGAAUGCAGGAGUCAUGAAGGGUUCGACUGUUCGUCGAUUAAAGAGCUACACGAGUUGGGUUAAAUACGUCGUGAGACAGUAUGGUUUCUAUCUUCUAGAGGAAAUUAGAGUAAAAUAAGGAUAGCCCCUUCGUACGAAAGGAGUUGGGUAUGUUAACCUCUGGUUUACCUGUUGUUUAUGCGCU